UUCAAUUCAGAACUGCGGCGAGUCCGGCUUCCCCGGGAGCCGGGGCCGCCCGGGCGCCGGGGGCCGAGUUCCGAGGGACUUUGCAAAAGAGGCGCUCGCCUCCCUCCCUGCGCGCCUCCUCCGGGAGCACGGGGAUGCUUGCACCUGCGCCGCCGGGGACCGCCUGGCCAGAGCCGCUGCUCCGCCCCCGGGGACGGGGGGACCUGCGCCCAGGAGCGCUUGGAAAUUGGAUCUUGGCAAAAUUAGCAACGAAUCCAUAAAGGAGACUAAAAGCCAUUUGAUCUCCCUCUUCAAUGACAGUCCCACAAAAGUCGAAGAAAUACAUUAUGUCUCCAAUGAAGAGAGCAGUUGUACCCUAAAAUUAGGACAUGAUUAAGGCUUUGAGGAUUUGGCAGUGAACCACACACGUAGAAGCUCUAACGGAGGUUCCAUUCCAAGGGAGAGAUAAUCAACUGAUAAAAUAUACGCGCCCUCCCCUUCCUCCAACCCACAGCACUUGAACCUCUGCAAAGGCUGCGUUUUUCCAGCCAGUAAUCACACUCUCAACAGACAGCCAAGUGCUGGAGACAAUGGUUCCUCCACCCUCUCAGCUCUACCUCGGCUUCCGUGGAGACAGACUUUCUGUCUCUGAUUUAUGUGCUGAGUCCUCCUUGAGAGAAAUGCCGGGGUGGGGAAAUGCACGACCCUAAAGCAGAUGACUUGCCUCCCAUCAUUGCUCCUACCCCCUGCACACUGUCACUAGAGCACGGGUCAGGAGCCAAGAGGCAUCUUGGAAUAUUCCCUAGAAGAUACGAACCCACCUCACAAGUGCCUUCUCGGGUUACGUCUGCUUUCUUUUAAAUCCAUGCACUGUGAGGUGUGUUGGACUUGGGGGUCUUGGUGCUGUGCUUCCUCACCAUGGAGAGGAGCCCAGAGCAACGGGACUCUGGCCUUGGUAGCAUAAAGGGUCAGCAGGUACCAUCUUGCAUUCACUCCCAGCGUUCUCUUGCCAAACACAGCUGCUCUUUUUAAAUGAAUGGGAAACUAUUUUUAACGUCAGUCAUUGUUCAUUUAGAAUGAAAAAAAAAUGUGUUUCAUCUGACCUUUUCUAAUUAUUUUCCUUUUUACUUCAUAUAAUGAUGCAGGAAAAUUCCUUACAAUGAACUCUGUGUUCAAACCAACCAACUAACCAACCAACAAAAACCCCCAAUUUACUGGUCACCUAGUUCUUCAUUUAUUCCUUGAAAAAUCUACUCCCUAAACCUUAUCAAGGAGUCAUAGAGGAAAGCUAGCACAUUGUUUUGCUUAUUGAGUCUACUGGUAUUUGUAGAGGUAAGAAUAGCGCCAUGACUGUCGCAGAUAAGGACGGGAGUCAAGGAUGGCUCUUGAUGCCUGACCAUACAGAAGAUUGCUUUGUUCCUGGUCAGACAAGGCUUCAGAAAAUUUGGGGUUUCCCAUUUGUUUGGACUUCCCACUUACCACUUUCUAUAUUUUUCUGUAUUAUUAGAAUAGUUUUAUAUUCUAAGCAUCUGAUUAUAUUUUGGUGAGUUUAGAUUGGGUUAGGAAAAGGCAAGAGACAAAGCCAUAAAUAGCCAAAUUCAAACUAGUGUAAUAAUUAAUCCAUAACCUAAAUAACUCUAUUAAUAAUACAGGUUGGUAAAUGUCUCUCACAACGUAUUUUAAAAUUAUUUCUCACAGAGAGCAAGUAUAACUUGAACUGUAUAGUAUUUGUUUUUUAGAAAAUCAAUUCAAUAAUGGGAAAAUAUACCAAGAAAACUAUUUCAAGAUCCAAUGUCUAAUUCUGCAGGUAAUGUAUUCUUUUGUUUAUGAGUUAUACUUCACCCUUCUUCAUUUCAAAUAUUGAAACAUGAGGUGGCUAUUUUUGAAGAAGAAGAAGGAGAAGAAGAUGGAGGAAAAGAAGGAGAGGAAGAAGAAGAAGAAAAAGGAGGAGGAGGAGGGGGAGGAGGAGGAAGGAGAAAGAGGAGCAGGAGGAAGAAAGAAGACCAAGUAUCUAGGGCUUUAAGAAUUAGAUUUAAAAAAAUUAUUUAUUACAAAACAUAAAGCAUUCAAGUUCUUGUUCCAAGGGAAAAUAACAAAGGAAAUAAAUCCAUUAAACAUUCUUGCUCUUCAAAAACAAAAUGAAUGGAAGUGUGUUUCAUGACAUUUUGAGGUCAUACAUGUUUCCUCGUGGCUUCUUAGGAGAUGGGAGGGAAGGUCUAAAUGGAGAGAUUGCCUGUCCAUGUGGCAUGUGGCACCAGUGUGAUGACACUAAUGUGAAGGAACUAGAAGUUCUAGAUUCUUAAAUGCAUUUUUUAAAAAAAGAAAAAAAAUGAGCUUAAAAAACAAUUUGAAUAGGAGGCAAAUGAUAUUAGAAUUAAAGAUCUAAAAUUCUAAGUGUCAUCAAAAAAAUCUCAAAGAGAUAUUUUAUGAGAGUGUAUGUUUUUAAGUGAAUGUGAUGUAAUCCAAAUUUAUAUUCACUUUCAGCUAGUAAUCUAUACUCAAAGGAGUAGUGCCUAUCUGUUUAUUUAAGGUAGAAACUAUGCUGUAUUUGGUGUCAAGUCCUCCUACUGAUACUCUCUGACAUUAAAACAUAGACUCUGAGAAUUUUAAAUUUUACAAAGGAAAACCAAGAUAAAGCAACUUUUAGAAAGAUUCUUUGUUUCUCUUUUUCUUAAGAUAAAGCUUUUGUUCAAGCAUGCCAGUUUAAAAAUCUUUCCUUUUCCUCCCUCCCUCCUUCCUUCCCUUCCUUCUUUUUUUUUUUUUUUUCUUUUUUGUGGUGCAUUUGACUAAGAAAAAAAAUUAUGGUAGCUUUAGACGGAAAAAUAUUUUGUUUAUAUGUGGAGCUUCGAUGCACAGUCACUAAAUUAACAAUAGAAGCAGAGCAUUUGAUUUUCAUGUUUGUUUCUAGACAUUAGCAAAAAUGGAUUAUUUCUGUUUGGAAUUUUGAACUUGGGGCUCCUGCAGACUUGCCUUACGUUUGCAAGGUUUUGUAACAAGUACCUGAACACGCUCUACUGAGAAUUCCAAAACAAACUUUAUAAAGUCAGAAAGUAAGAAAAUGGAUGCAGCUUCCAAAUUCAGCCUAUUCCUGUAGAAAGAUAUUUGAAAACAGCUCUGGCAUACAUUUUUAUGCACCAAUCUCUGAAAUCGUUAAAAAUAUAAAAAGAAAAGGAAUGAGUGCUGAGCAAAUGUUUCAUAGGACAUAUACGAAAGCAUGAAAAGUAAGUCAGCUUAAAGCAAAUUACCAAUCUUUAUUCUUUCAAAUAUUCCUCCAGAUGGAAAUGUCUUACUGCACUUGGAUUAAUUGUAAAGACUCAAACUUAGGAAGUGUCAUUAAGUACAGAACUUCGAAUAAAAUAUAUUUUUCCUUUCCUACCCCCAUCAUCCUGAAGACACACAAAUUGUCCUCAAGAAAAAAUGUCAUGUUUGGGGAAAAUAUACUGUUUAUAAGUAUGUAAAUAUACUGAAUUUCAGGAGACAUGUAUUAAGAAUUUCUCGGUGGGCUAUAUAUAUAUAUUUUUUUUAAUUCCAUUAUUUCUCCUAAAGUAUUCCAAAUUUGUAAUAAUGGACAUACAUCUAAUUUUAAAUUUUACUACCCAUUCCAGUAAGAUAUCUUUAGUAACUAUAGAAACUCAUGAAAAUUGUACUUUUAAUGUAAUAUUGAUUUUAAGUGAGGUAAAAUGUUAUAUUUUAACGGCUGUAGGAAAACUGAAGCCCUUGCCAUUAUUCCUGCCAUGUGCCUCAGGCUUUUUCCCAUAAUAGAAAGGAAAGCAUGUUUGUUGAUAUCUUUUGUCUCCAAUAGAUAUUUUUAGUUUUUUGAUACUAAUUUUAUAUCCCAAAGAAAAGAUAAUAUUUCUCUGGAGUGCCUUUGAAUGUUUCCCGUAGAGGAUGGGAAAACUGUGGUAACUUAAAAGUGCUCAUUGAAAAACAUUUCAUGAAGCCAAUCUUGUUUAUUAGAGUUACAGUCUUGUUGUUUGUGUCCAUAGGACUGUGUGCUUUUAUGGUUGUUUUUAAAUUGGUAUAAGUUAGCAUAAUUUUGUAUCAUUCAGGUGAUCUUAACAAAACUGGGCAGAGUGUAGAAUUGAGAAUGUGAAAGGAACUAUUUUUAAGUGAACACUUAGGUCAAAACUCCGUCUCGUAAAAAUAUUUUUGUUACCCUAAAACAACAAAAAGAUUUGAGGGGACUCUUUGACAAGUUAUUGCCAAAAUUAUUUUUCCUUUUUUUUGCCAGAAAAUAAAAGCUGAAAAUAGACUGAAGCAUAAUAUAUUUUUAUAGCUCUCUCUCCAGAAUGACAGAAUUUUCUGUAAAUCUCAUUAUGUAAAAUAUGCCUUCCCUGUGGUAAGUAUGAGGUAUGGGGAGAAACUAAUUGGAUUGCUCAAAUUAGUCAAUAUGUCUGAAACUAUUUCGGGGAUGCUUAUCCUUUUCGGUAACUACGUAAUUCAAUUUGUUGCUUUCUUGUGAGAAUUCUUUUGAGCAACAAGCAGAAAUCCAGGAUAACAUUAAGAAAUGAGAUUUUAGGCACAGGACGAUGACCACAGAUGACCACAAUGUACACAGGCAUCUCAAAGAGCAUGAUGUCCUGAAAAAUAAGACAAGAUUGGUAGCAUGACAAUGAAUGACCGUCAACUUUUUGGACAUUGAUGUAAGCUGAAUUUAAUAAAAACAAAAGAAAUGUUAGAGAAAGAAGACUAUAGAGUAACGUAUGAUUUUGUUAAGGUCUUUCUAAUGGUAUCUUCUGGGGAAAAUAUCUUCUAGCUAAAAUGAUUUUUUAAUUAAAAAAAAUUCUAAAAGGCUAGAACAUUUUCCCUUGAGGAUAUUAUAAUUGACAGGAUCUUAACUAUUAGUAAAUAAGUCCUUGUGUUGCUGUAAAUCAGCCGUGGAAUAAAUAUUUCACUUGCUGAGACUUUUUUAUAAAUAUCAAUAUUUAUGUUAAUGUGACUGAUUUCUGGGUAAACAUAGUCCUAUAUACACAUCUGAACUCCAUUGGCCCCUUGGAGUUAAUUGCCUUGGAAGGUGGUGCCACAGGCCAGGGACUCCGCCAUUGGUCACAACUUUUGGGGGAUUGCCUUUAAAUCCAACUCCAUUUAUUUUUAAACUCCAUUUUUUAAAAAAGGUUUUAUUUAUUUAUUCACAAGAGACACGCGGAGAGAGGCAGAGACACAGGCAGAGGGAGAAGCAGGCUCCCUGCGGGGAGCCCAAUGAGGGUCUCGAGAUCGAGACCCCAGGGUCACUCCCUGAGCCAAAGGCAGAUGCUCAACCACUGAGCCACCCCGGUGUCUCUAAACCCCAUUUUUAAAAGAUACUGAAAGAAGACAAGUCUCCAUCCUUUGAGGGUGAUUCAGUUUUCAAGAAUAUAGCUGGAAAACCCCUGUGACAUUUGGUGCAUAAAGUAGUUUGAUCAUUGAUACACAAGGACUGAAAUAAAACAACUAAUCUAAUCUGUGCUGAAUGAAAUCCCUCUAAAGUUCAUUGUGGUGGACAGAACCAGAUUAUUUGGAUAUUUGUUCUGAACACCCACCUGGAGGAAAUACUAAAAAGGGAUCAGAAAAUAAUCUUUACUGGACCUCAAGGAGGGAACAGUAUGUGGUUAAUAUAGUUAGAGGGCAUGCAACUCAUUCCUCAAGGUAUGUUUUGGUAAGAACAGAAUUAGAUAAAGAGGAACUUUUAUCUAACCAGAGCACUCCGCUCCCCCCCUCCCCUGCUGUCCUUUAUAUAUAUAUAUGACUAUUUACUAAACAAAACAUGGGGACAGUUAAAGCAUACAGUGUUGAAUCGGUCCCCAAAUUGUUAUCCUUUCCGCGGUACCCACGUCUUGUUCAAUCGAGAUAAUACAGACAUGUUUUCAAAAAUGAAAAUAUUAUCAGAAGAAGUAUAUAGUCUACCAAGAGGUAUUUGGGGCUUGGACACCUGUUUAUGAUUGCAAGGUUUAAACACACGGUUACCUUUGUUCACGUCACCUGAAGACAACAUAUGGCCUAUUGCACAGAAGAGUAAAAUUCAUCAUUUCAUCAGAUGCUAUAUUAAAGAGAAAGAAUUAUUUGUUGGAAAAUUAACCCUGUGCGUUGCUCUCUAUCAAUUGUUCGGAUAACAGUUGGCCAAGAUCCCCGAUGAGCUUUAUUUAACCUGUUCACGCUUUUCCACAGCAGAACCUUUGAGAAUGAUUAGCUUCUGGGAUUUAGACUUUAGAUUCCAGAUCGUCCAGAUGUGUGGGGCCCCUGCAUGGAAGUUAGCUGCUUCUCUGUGGUUUUACAGAGUCAGGAAAAGGAGGAAUAGAUGGGACAUGGACUCUGUUUGAGCAGUUAGAUAUUCUAGAUAGAUGUGUGCCAGAGAAUUAAGGAGGAGGCGACAAGCACACGCUGAUCACCAACUAUGUUCAAGGAAAUAUGUUAGGUCCUCUGGUCCACAGAUGAGUGAGAAACAGUUCCCGACCUCAAGGAUCUCCCUGUCUAGUGGGGAAAAUAGACAAAGUAAGAGAAGUAUACGAAAAAGGGGGGGGGGUUCAUAAAAUUAUCUGCGUAUCCAUUUUUCAUUUUUAGAGUCCAUUUCACAGAGAAAAUAUAUAUAAUGUUGAAACUAGAAGUCUGUGUCUCCUCAGUGUACAUGUCUUUAGUUCAUUGUAUUUCGUUAUUCUCUCAUUUUAAAAUUCAGUAGGCAACAUUAAUUGGCCUUUAAAAGUCUUGGGGUAUAGAACAUUAUGUUAUCUUCUUGCACGAUUAAAAAAUAAUUCUUAGCUAAUAAUCAUGCAGCAAAAAGGUAUUUAAAAUAGAUUCUAAGUAAUUAUAUAGAGAGAAUUUGAUAAGGAGGCGAGAUGGGUGGUAACCAUAGAAUUCCGUCAUUCAUUGAUAGCUUGUCUCAAAUUCUCUAGCGUUUUUGAAUCUCUGUGUUAAUUGAGUAUAUAAUUUAAUACUUUUUAGAGAAUAAAUAUUUGUCUUUAUCCUA